GACGAACGCUGGCGGCGUGCUUAACACAUGCAAGUCGAACGAAGUGGCGAACGGGUGAGUAACGCGUAAUCAACCUGCCCUUCAGAGGGGGACAACAGUUGGAAACGACUGCUCAUACCGCAUACUGAAGGAGGGGAUUGCGUCUGAUUAGCUAUUUGGAGGGGUAACGGCCCACCACGGCGAUGAUCAGUAGCCGGUUGGAGAGGAUGAACGGCCACAUUGGGCCUGGGAAACGGCCCAGACUCCGACGGGAGGCAGCAGGGGGGAAUCUUCCGCAAUGGACGAAAGUAUGACGGAGCAACGCCGCGUGAGUGAUGACGGCCUUCGGGUUGUAAAGCUCUGUUAAGCGGGACGCGGUACCGGAAUAGAAAGCCACGGCUAACUACGUGCCAGCAGCCGCGGUAAUUC
rnacentral:rRNA from 1 species